GGGCAAAUAGCGUAGGGGUUAUCGCGUUCGCUUUGCAUGACUCUGUAUAGCAGGAAUUGGCUGCGAAAGGUCUCCGGUUCAAAUCCGGAUUUGUCCA